CAAGAAAUAGUUUAUAUAAAAUUUAAAUUUUGGAGAUUUAAGAUGGAUUUUAUUCUUUCUUGA
rnacentral:tRNA from 1 species